CGGCGGACGGGUGAGUAACACGUGGAUAACCUACCUAUAAGACUGGGAUAACUUCGGGAAACCGGAGCUAAUACCGGAUAAUAUAUUGAACCGCAUGGUUCAAUAGUGAAAGACGGUUUUGCUGUCACUUAUAGAUGGAUCCGCGCCGCAUUAGCUAGUUGGUAAGGUAACGGCUUACCAAGGCAACUAUGCGUAGCCGACCUGAGAGGGUGAUCGGCCACACUGGAACUGAGACACGGUCCAGACUCCUACGGGAGGCAGCAGUG
rnacentral:rRNA from 1 species